rnacentral:rRNA from 1 species
AUAAUGGGUCAGCGACUUAUAUUCUGUAGCAAGGUUAACCGAAUAGGGGAGCCGAAGGGAAACCGAGUCUUAACUGGGCGUUAAGUUGCAGGGUAUAGACCCGAAACCCGGUGAUCUAGCCAUGGGCAGGUUGAAGGUUGGGUAACACUAACUGGAGGACCGAACCGACUAAUGUUGAAAAAUUAGCGGAUGACUUGUGGCUGGGGGUGAAAGGCCAAUCAAACCGGGAGAUAGCUGGUUCUCCCCGAAAGCUAUUUAGGUAGCGCCUCGUGAAUUCAUCUCCGGGGGUAGAGCACUGUUUCGGCAAGGGGGUCAUCCCGACUUACCAACCCGAUGCAAACUGCGAAUACCGGAGAAUGUUAUCACGGGAGACACACGGCGGGUGCUAACGUCCGUCGUGAAGAGGGAAACAACCCAGACCGCCAGCUAAGGUCCCAAAGUCAUGGUUAAGUGGGAAACGAUGUGGGAAGGCCCAGACAGCCAGGAUGUUGGCUUAGAAGCAGCCAUCAUUUAAAGAAAGCGUAAUAGCUCACUGGUCGAGUCGGCCUGCGCGGAAGAUGUAACGGGGCUAAACCAUGCACCGAAGCUGCGGCAGCGACGCUGAUGCGUUGUUGGGUAGGGGAGCGUUCUGUAAGCCUGCGAAGGUGUGCUGUGAGGCAUGCUGGAGGUAUCAGAAGUGCGAAUGCUGACAUAAGUAACGAUAAAGCGGGUGAAAAGCCCGCUCGCCGGAAGACCAAGGGUUCCUGUCCAACGUUAAUCGGGGCAGGGUGAGUCGACCCCUAAGGCGAGGCCGAAAGGCGUAGUCGAUGGGAAACAGGUUAAUAUUCCUGUACUUGGUGUUACUGCGAAGGGGGGACGGAGAAGGCUAUGUUGGCCGGGCGACGGUUGUCCCGGUUUAAGCGUGUAGGCUGGUUUUCCAGGCAAAUCCGGAAAAUCAAGGCUGAGGCGUGAUGACGAGGCACUACGGUGCUGAAGCAACAAAUGCCCUGCUUCCAGGAAAAGCCUCUAAGCAUCAGGUAACAUCAAAUCGUACCCCAAACCGACACAGGUGGUCAGGUAGAGAAUACCAAGGCGCUUGAGAGAACUCGGGUGAAGGAACUAGGCAAAAUGGUGCCGUAACUUCGGGAGAAGGCACGCUGAUAUGUAGGUGAAGCGACUUGCUCGUGGAGCUGAAAUCAGUCGAAGAUACCAGCUGGCUGCAACUGUUUAUUAAAAACACAGCACUGUGCAAACACGAAAGUGGACGUAUACGGUGUGACGCCUGCCCGGUGCCGGAAGGUUAAUUGAUGGGGUCAGCGCAAGCGAAGCUCUUGAUCGAAGCCCCGGUAAACGGCGGCCGUAACUAUAACGGUCCUAAGGUAGCGAAAUUCCUUGUCGGGUAAGUUCCGACCUGCACGAAUGGCGUAAUGAUGGCCAGGCUGUCUCCACCCGAGACUCAGUGAAAUUGAACUCGCUGUGAAGAUGCAGUGUACCCGCGGCAAGACGGAAAGACCCCGUGAACCUUUACUAUAGCUUGACACUGAACAUUGAGCCUUGAUGUGUAGGAUAGGUGGGAGGCUUUGAAGUGUGGACGCCAGUCUGCAUGGAGCCGACCUUGAAAUACCACCCUUUAAUGUUUGAUGUUCUAACGUGGACCCGUGAUCCGGGUUGCGGACAGUGUCUGGUGGGUAGUUUGACUGGGGCGGUCUCCUCCUAAAGAGUAACGGAGGAGCACGAAGGUUGGCUAAUCCUGGUCGGACAUCAGGAGGUUAGUGCAAUGGCAUAAGCCAGCUUGACUGCGAGCGUGACGGCGCGAGCAGGUGCGAAAGCAGGUCAUAGUGAUCCGGUGGUUCUGAAUGGAAGGGCCAUCGCUCAACGGAUAAAAGGUACUCCGGGGAUAACAGGCUGAUACCGCCCAAGAGUUCAUAUCGACGGCGGUGUUUGGCACCUCGAUGUCGGCUCAUCACAUCCUGGGGCUGAAGUAGGUCCCAAGGGUAUGGCUGUUCGCCAUUUAAAGUGGUACGCGAGCUGGGUUUAGAACGUCGUGAGACAGUUCGGUCCCUAUCUGCCGUGGGCGCUGGAGAACUGAGGGGGGCUGCUCCUAGUACGAGAGGACCGGAGUGGACGCAUCACUGGUGUUCGGGUUGUCAUGCCAAUGGCACUGCCCGGUAGCUAAAUGCGGAAGAGAUAAGUGCUGAAAGCAUCUAAGCACGAAACUUGCCCCGAGAUGAGUUCUCCCUGACUCCUUGAGAGUCCUGAAGGAACGUUGAAGACGACGACGUUGAUAGGCCGGGUGUGUAAGCGCAGCGAUGCGUUGAGCUAACCGGUACUAAUGAACCGUGAGGCUUAACCUUACAACGCCGAAGGUGUUU